UGGGUUCGCGGGGUAAUCGCUCUUGAUAAUAUCAGGAGAGGAAAGUCCGGACUCCUAACAAGAUGGAUGCCUUACAAGGUUUCAAGUAAGGGGGGCGCAAGCCCAUGGAAAGUGCCACAGAAAAGAAAACCGCCUAUUUAUUUAGGUAAGGGUGAAAAUGUGUGGUAAGAGCACACGGAUGGAUAAAGUAAUUUAUUUAUCAGGUAAACCCCAUCCGGAGCAAGACAAAGUAAGCAAGUUAUAUGUCUCUUGUUCUUUAACACUUGCGGGUAUGUCGCUUAGAUAGAUGGUUAUCGCUUUAGUUUACUAAAGAUACAAAAUCCGGCUUACAAGUGAACCCAAAAG
rnacentral:RNase_P_RNA from 1 species